rnacentral:rRNA from 1 species
GCCUACGGGGCGCAGCAGUGGGGAAUUUUGGACAAUGGGGGCAACCCUGAUCCAGCCAUGCCGCGUGAGUGAAGAAGGCCUUCGGGUUGUAAAGCUCUUUCAGGUGGAAAGAAAUCGCAUCUUUUAAUACAGGGUGUGGAUGACGGUACCAUCAGAAGAAGCACCGGCUAACUACGUGCCAGCAGCCGCGGUAAUACGUAGGGUGCGAGCGUUAAUCGGAAUUACUGGGCGUAAAGCGUGCGCAGGCGGUUAUGUAAGACAGAUGUGAAAUCCCCGGGCUCAACCUGGGAACUGCGUUUGUGACUGCAUAACUAGAGUACGGCAGAGGGAGGUGGAAUUCCGCGUGUAGCAGUGAAAUGCGUAGAGAUGCGGAGGAACACCGAUGGCGAAGGCAGCCUCCUGGGCCAGUACUGACGCUCAUGCACGAAAGCGUGGGGAGCAAACAGGAUUAGAUACCCUGGUAGU